CCCGCCACUAUAACAGUCUGACGUGACUGCGUAUAUUCCAGUGGUGCGCUAAGAUCAGACUCCGUCUUAGGAAACAGGUUCACCCUACCCGUGAGUGACCCUGUGCCGAUAGAUUGGAGACAAUU